rnacentral:rRNA from 1 species
UGGGGAAUUUUUCGCAAUGGGCGCAAGCCUGACGAAGCAACGCCGCGUGGAGGAUGAAGGUCUUCGGAUUGUAAACUCCUGUCGACCGGGACGAAUGCACCCAACCUAAUACGUUGAAGUGUUGACGGUACCGGUGGAGGAAGCCACGGCAAACUUCGUGCCAGCAGCCGCGGUAAUACGAAGGGGGCUAGCGUUGUUCGGAAUUACUGGGCGUAAAGCGCACGUAGGCGGAUUGUUAAGUCAGAGGUGAAAUCCCGGAGCUCAACUUCGGAACUGCCUUUGAUACUGGCAAUCUAGAGUCCGGAAGAGGUUAGUGGAAUUCCCAGUGUAGAGGUGAAAUUCGUAAAUAUUGGGAAGAACACCAGUGGCGAAGGCGGCUAACUGGUCCGGUACUGACGCUGAGGUGCGAAAGCGUGGGGAGCAAACAGGAUUAGAUACCCAUGUAGUCCCUGAGCGGGCUGGCAAGGCGCAU